rnacentral:rRNA from 1 species
UACGAAGGGGGCGAGCGUUGUUCGGAAUUACUGGGCGUAAAGGGCGCGCAGGCGGCUCUGAAAGUCAGAUGUGAAAUCCCCGGGCUCAACCUGGGAAUGGCAAUGGAUACUGGAUAGCUAGAGUGUGAUAGAGGAUGGUGGAAUUCCCGGUGUAGCGGUGAAAUGCGUAGAGAUCGGGAGGAACAUCAGUGGCGAAGGCGGCAUCCUGGCCAUGUCCUGACGCUCAGGGGCGAAAGCGUGGGGAGCAAACCGG